rnacentral:rRNA from 1 species
CCUACGGGAGGCAGCAGUGAGGAAUAUUGGUCAAUGGACGAGAGUCUGAACCAGCCAAGUAGCGUGAAGGAUGACUGCCCUAUGGGUUGUAAACUUCUUUUAUACAGGAAUAAAACGAGGCACGUGUGCCUUUUUGCAUGUACUUUAUGAAUAAGGAUCGGCUAACUCCGUGCCAGCAGCCGCGGUAAUACGGAGGAUCCGAGCGUUAUCCGGAUUUAUUGGGUUUAAAGGGAGCGUAGAUGGGUUGUUAAGUCAGUUGUGAAAGUUUGCGGCUCAACCGUAAAAUUGCAAUUGAUACUGGCAGUCGUGAGUACAGUUGAGGUAAGCGGAAUUCGUGGUGUAGCGGUGAAAUGCUUAGAGAUCACGAAGAACCCCGAUUGCGAAGGCAGCUUACUAAACUGUGACUGACAUUGAUGCUCGAAAGUGUGGGUAUCAAACAGGAUUAGAUACCCGAGUAGUC